rnacentral:rRNA from 1 species
UACGAACGCUGGCGGCGUGCUUAACACAUGCAAGUCGAACGAAGUGGCGAACGGGUGAGUAACGCGUAAUCAACCUGCCCUUCAGAGGGGGACAACAGUUGGACACGACUGCUCAUACCGCAUACUGAAGGAGGGGCUUGCGUCUGAUUAGCUAGUUGGAGGGGUAACGGCCCACACAGGCGAUGAUCAGUAGCCGGUCUGAGAGGAUGAACGGCCACAUUGGGACUGAGACACGGCCCAGACUCCUACGGGAGGCAGCAGUGGGGAAUCAUCCGCAAUGGACGAAAGUCUGACUGAACAACGGCGCGCGUGUGAUGAGGGCCUUCGGGAUAUAAAGCUCUGUUAAUCGGGACGCGGUACCGGAAGAGAAAGCAACGGCUAACUACGUGCCAGCAGCCGCGGUAAUAC